ACGGCUCAGUAACACGUCGGUAACCUACCCUCGGGAGGGGGAUAACCCCGGGAAACUGGGGCUAAUUCCCCAUAGGCCUGAGGUACUGGAAGGUCCUCAGGCCGAAAGGGACUUAUGUCCGCCCGAGGAUGGGCCGGCGGCCGAUUAGGUAGUUGGUGGGGUAAUGGCCCACCAAGCCAAAGAUCGGUACGGGCUGUGAGAGCAGGAGCCCGGAGAUGGACACUGAGACACGGGUCCAGGCCCUACGGGGCGCAGCAGGCGCGAAACCUCCGCAAUGCGGGAAACCGCGACGGGGGGACCCCGAGCGCCGUGGCAACGCCACGGCUUUUCCGGAGUGUAAAAAGCUCCGGGAAUAAGGGCUGGGCAAGGCCGGUGGCAGCCGCCGCGGUAAUACCGGCGGCCCGAGUGGUGGCCGCUAUUAUUGGGCCUAAAGCGUCCGUAGCCGGGCCCGUAAGUCCCUGGCGAAAUCCCACGGCUCAACCGUGGGGCUUGCUGGGGAUACUGCGGGUCUUGGGACCGGGAGAGGCGGGGGGUACCCCUGGGGUAGGGGUGAAAUCCUAUAAUCCCAGGGGGACCGCCAGUGGCGAAGGCGCCCCGCUGGAACGGGUCCGACGGUGAGGGACGAAGGCCAGGGGAGCAAACCGGAUUAGAUACCCGGGUAGUCCUGGCUGUAAAGGAUGCGGGCUAGGUGUCGGGUGAGCCUCGAGCUCGCCCGGUGCCGUAGGGAAGCCGUUAAGCCCGCCGCCUGGGGAGUACGGCCGCAAGGCUGAAACUUAAAGGAAUUGGCGGGGGAG
rnacentral:rRNA from 1 species